GUUGGCGUUUCACCGCUUGCACAGGAGUUAUGGACGAGCACCAGCUAACAUACGGCCGAUGAAAAAACUGUUCUCAGGUCAGGUGUGGCCUCUGAUGUUCCAAAAUUCACGAGCAGCCUUCGACAUCAGUUAAAAUGUGUCUUCAGUGUGAGGUAGCAGCUCUGGGACGGCUCAGCCACCAAAUAGGUCUUCUGGGAUGGGAUUGCUGUUCCAGUGGAGAGAUAGCAGCCCAUGCGGACCAUAUUUCCUCACUGCCCGGGCCGGAUGCCUGGCAGAAAAUUGAAGCCAGUCGGGUGUGUCAGCGUCGCGGCCACAAGACUCCGGCGCCUUCUACCAGGUUUAAAGAUGACACGAGGGAAAGGGAUGAGUGUGGUGUUUACUGUCUUUUCAGUAUGUCAUUUGCAGUAAAUCUAAUCUGCAAAUAAAAGAACAAUGCUUGAUGUUCUGAUGACUAAAACCUCUUUAUUUGUUUAAAUAAACAGUAUUACAGGUAGGACCGCCUCUUUAACGAGUUCUCUGCCCUGAUUGGAUGAAGUGAGCGGGGAUACCAGGAAGUGCCUUUUCUCUUCUACAGGAGGAGGAGAGGCGUGGUUUACCGACCAAACACACACGCUUUUAAAAUCUUAUUUUGAUAAGCUUACAUCGCUUCACAGCAGUUUCCAUUCUUGUAAUGUACAAAAGAAAAAAAUGUAAUUCGUCACUUUGGAAAAGUUUAAACCUUUGAGCUUUUCAGGGUAUUUAUGUUUGGCAUUAAUGGACUUGUUGUUAAGAAAUAACAAUGUGGAACAAUAACACGCCAUCAUCAAACAUAAACCUCAGCUCAAUCAUAAAACCAGUUAUGUCACAUUUAUUCACCCAUAAUAAAGUUAAUAGCGACGCAAAACCCGUCCAUCGACGAGGGAAUGUGGUGAUUAAUGAGGGAGUGAGCAUCUCUACUGAUGUCAGGCACGUGAGUUAAACGGUCACUUCAUCAGAACUCACUCAGAACAGGUGUUUCUGUCUCCCAUUACCCUGGUUCAAUAAAAACCCUAUUAUAAUUUGUUGAGUUUGCUUUGUGCUCUGCGUGUUCUUUCUGCUAAUCAUGUGAAAAGCCUUUUAAAACGUCGCUCUUCAGAGUGAAACUGUCACCAAACAUUAAUCAUAAUUGUCCCCCGGUGACACCUCCGUCUUGAUUUUGAGCCAAAAAAGAAAUUGAACUCCAUUAAAUGUUCAUGAAGGGUUCUCUCUCUGCUGACUUUACAG
rnacentral:lncRNA from 1 species